UCCGGUUUGUCACCGGCAGUCUCGCGUGAGUCCCCAACUUAAUGCUGGCAACACGCGACAAGGGUUGCGCUCGUUGCGGGACUUAACCCAACAUCUCACGACACGAGCUGACGACAGCCAUGCAGCAUCUGUGGUGCACCCUCGAAGGUCACACGUUUCCGUGCGCUUGCAGCACCAUGUCAAGCCCAGGUAAGGUGGGGAUGACGUUCGUCUGAC
rnacentral:misc_RNA from 1 species